GGGGAAAAAUUAAUAAUGGGGGGUUAUAAUAAAAAAAUUUUUAAGUAAGAUUAAUUAUUUUAAUGGGGGUUAAAGUAUAUUGAUAGAAAAAAUUUAAAAAUUUAUAGUGUAUUAGUAUUGAAAAAGAAAUUUGAAAUAUUUUAAAAUUAAAUUUUGAGUAAAGUAAUUUUAAUUUAAUGUAUCUUGUGUAUCAGAGUUUAUUAAAAAAUAUUUUUAGUUAAAAAAUUCUCGAAUUUAAAAGAGAUAAUUAAUUAUAAAAGUUAUUGUUGCAAAAAUAUUUUAAAUAAUUAGUUUGAAAUGAGAUGUUAAUCGUUUUUAAAUAUAUCUAGUUUUUUUAGAAAAAAAUUUAAUUUUAAAUUUAUUAAUUAAUUAAAUAAUUAUUUAUUUAAUUAUUUUUUAAAUUUAAUAUUUUAGGGGAUAAGCUUUAAAUUAUAUUUAUAUAAUUAACUAGAUUUUAAUAAUUGAGAAAUAUAUAAUUUAAAUUAUUAAAAAUUUUUAAUUUGUUAUAAAUAAUUUCAUUUAAUUUAAAAUUUAAAGUUUAAUUUAUUAUUUUAUAAAAAAAUUUUUUAUAAUAAUUUAAAUUUAGUUAUAAUGAUAAAAUUAGUAUAUAGAUGAGAUUAUAUUAAAUAAUAAGAUUUAUGUUAAUUAUUUAAAAGGAAUUCGGCAAAUUUUUAUAUUCACUUGUUUAUCAAAAACAUGUCUUUUUGGUUAAUAAUUUAAAGUCUAAUCUGCCCACUGAUAAAAUUAAAGGGCUGCAGUAAUUUGACUGUACAAAGGUAGCAUAAUCAUUAGUCAUUUAAUUGAUGACUUGUAUGAAAGAUUGGAUGAAAUAUAAACUGUCUUUAAAGUAUGAUAUAGAAUUUAAUUUUUUAAUUAAAAAGUUAAAAUAAAUAAAAAAGACGAGAAGACCCUAUAGAGUUUUAUUAUUGAGUUUAUUAAUAUUAUUUAUAUUUAUUAUAAAUUUAAAUUAAUUUAAUAAUUUUAUUGGGGUGAUAGAAAAAUUAAAUAAACUUUUUUUUUUAUUUUUAAACAUAAAUAAAUGAAUUAUUGAUCCAUAGUAUUUAGUGAUUAUAAGAAAAAAUUACCUUAGGGAUAACAGCGUAAUUUUUUUUUUUAGUUCGUAUAAAAAAAAGAGUUUGCGACCUCGAUGUUGGAUUAAGAUGAAAUUUAAAUGUAGAAGUUUAAUUGUUUUGAUCUGUUCGAUCAUUAAAAUCUUACAUGAUCUGAGUUCAAACCGGUGUAAGCCAGGUUGGUUUCUAUCUUUUUAAAGUUAAAAUGUUUUAGUACGAAAGGAUUAAAUAUUUAAAUUAAAUUUAAUUUUAUGAAUUUUAUUAAUUAUAUAUAAAUUUAGUUAAAAAUAAAUUAUUUUU
rnacentral:rRNA from 1 species